rnacentral:rRNA from 1 species
AAGCGACUCUCUGUCUGUUACUGACGCUGAGCUCGAAGCGUGGGGAGCAAACAGGAUUAGAUACCUGGUAGUCCACGCGUAAACGAUGAGUGCUAAGUGUUAGGGGGUUCCGCCCUUUAGUGCUGCAGCUAACGCAUUAAGCACUCCGCUGGGGAGUACGACCGCAAGGUUGAAACUCAAAGGAAUUGACGGGGGCCCGCACAAGCGGUGGAGCAUGUGGUUUAAUUCGAAGCAACGCGAAGAACCUUACCAGGUCUUGACAUCCUUUGACAACUCUAGAGAUAGAGCUUUCCCUUCGGGGACAAAGUGACAGGUGGUGCAUGGUUGUCGUCAGCUCGUGUCGUGAGAUGUUGGGUUAAGUCCCGCAACGAGCGCAACCCUUAUUGUUAGUUGCCAUCAUUCAGUUGGGCACUCUAGCGAAACUGCCGGUGACAAACCGGAGGAAGGUGGGGAUGACGUCAAAUCAUCAUGCCCCUUAUGACCUGGGCUACACACGUGCUACAAUGGACAGUACAAUGAGCAGCGACACGGCGACGUGAAGCGAAUCUCAUAAAGCUGUUCUCAGUUCGGAUUGUAGGCUGCAACUCGCCUACAUGAAGCCGGAAUCGCUAGUAAUCGCGGAUCAGCACGCCGCGGUGAAUACGUUCCCGGGCCUUGUACACACCGCCCGUCACACCACGAAAGUUUGUAACACCCAAAGUCGGUGAGGUAACCUUCGGGAGCCAGCCGCCUAAGGUGGGAUAGAUGAUUGGGGUGAAGUCGUAACAAGGUAACCA